rfam:Ictidomys tridecemlineatus contig079043, whole genome shotgun sequence.
AGGGAUGUGGCUCAGAGGUAGAGUGCUUACCUAGCAUGUGUGAGGCACUGGGUUCAAUUCUCAGCACCACAU